rnacentral:tRNA from 1 species
GCGGGAGUAGCGAAGCGGCCAAACGCGAUAGACUCAAGAUCUAUUCCCUUAGUGGGUCCGCAGGUUCGAAUCCUGCCUCCCGCA